rnacentral:lncRNA from 1 species
GUACUUUAAAUACUAGCACAGUAAGGGAAUUCCUGUCUUUCAGGAUGAAUGCCAUCCACACAAAAGAGCUCCUGUUGACAUCUCAUUUACAAUCUCCCCCAGGACACAGACAAGACCCUUUCAAUAAAUCCAGCUCAGAAACACCUAUUGUUCAAAAUCUUCAACUCGCCACAGGCUACCACCACUCCCUAUGGCUUUGCAAAAUUAAAGAUUUAGAAGAAGGAUGGGGCGGUGGAAGCUAUGAAAAGAGGCAGGAAAAAAGUUCCUUUGACCCGAUGCUGUCAGAGAGCGUGCAUGAAGAAGAAAGUUAAUGGUAUUUCCAUUUAUAUAAGAAGCGCCUAAGAAAUGCCUGUGACGUUCGUGAACUAGUGAUUGUGAAUUCCAAAUUUGAUGCCAACUUUAUGUGUAAAGAAGCUAACUCCUGCCAACAUCGUGGCUGAAUGAACAGCUGGGACUAUGCUUAACCCAUUCCCAGCUUAUAAAAGCCCCAUGGCAGCUGCAGUGAAGCAUCA